rnacentral:rRNA from 1 species
AGAGUUUGAUCCUGGCUCAGGAUGAACGCUGGCGGCGUGCCUAACACAUGCAAGUCGAGCGGAGAUACUUGAUAAGCUUGCUUAAUGAGUAUCUUAGCGGCGGAUGGGUGAGGAACGCGUGGAGAACCUGCCCUUCACAGGGGGAUAACAGCUGGAAACGGCUGUUAAUACCGCAUAUGCUCACAGCGCCGCAUGGCGCAGGGAGGAAAGCGCACAGUGGUGAAGGAUGGCUCCGCGUCGGAUUAGCCAGUUGGCGGGGUAACGGCCCACCAAAGCGAUGAUCCGUAGCCGGCCUGAGAGGGCGACCGGCCACAUUGGGACUGAGACACGGCCCAAACUCCUACGGGAGGCAGCAGUGGGGGAUAUUGCACAAUGGGCGAAAGCCUGAUGCAGCGACGCCGCGUGAAGGAAGACGUACCUCGGUAUGUAAACUUCUAUCAGCAGGGAAGAAGAUGACGGUACCUGACUAAGAAGCCCCGGCUAACUACGUGCCAGCAGCCGCGGUAAUACGUAGGGGGCAAGCGUUAUCCGGAUUUACUGGGUGUAAAGGGAGCGUAGACGGCGAUGCAAGUCCGAUGUGAAAACCCGAGGCUCAACCACGGGAUUGCAUUGGAAACUGUAUUGCUUGAGUGCUGGAGGGGCAAGCGGAAUUCCUGGUGUAGCGGUGAAAUGCGUAGAUAUCAGGAGGAACACCGGUGGCGAAGGCGGCUUGCUGGACAGUAACUGACGUUGAGGCUCGAAAGCGUGGGGAGCAAACAGGAUUAGAUACCCUGGUAGUCCACGCCGUMAUCGUUUAUACUAGGUGUGGGAGGGCAUUGCCCUUCGGUGCCGCAGYAAAC